CGGGCCUCUUGCCAUCAGAUGUGCCCAGAUGGGAUUAGCUAGUAGGUGGGGUAAUGGCUCACCUAGGCGACGAUCCCUAGCUGGUCUGAGAGGAUGACCAGCCACACUGGAACUGAGACACGGUCCAGACUCCUACGGGAGGCAGCAGUGGGGAAUAUUGCACAAUGGGCGCAAGCCUGAUGCAGCCAUGCCGCGUGUGUGAAGAAGGCCUUCGGGUUGUAAAGCACUUUCAGCGAGGAGGAAGGUGGUGAGCUUAAUACGCUCAUCAAUUGACGUUACUCGCAGAAGAAGCACCGGCUAACUCCGUGCCAGCAGCCGCGGUAAUACGGAGGGUGCAAGCGUUAAUCGGAAUUACUGGGCGUAAAGCGCACGCAGGCGGUUUGUUAAGUCAGAUGUGAAAUCCCCGGGCUCAACCUGGGAACUGCAUUUGAAACUGGCAAGCUAGAGUCUCGUAGAGGGGGGUAGAAUUCCAGGUGUAGCGGUGAAAUGCGUAGAGAUCUGGAGGAAUACCGGUGGCGAAGGCGGCCCCCUGGACGAAGACUGACGCUCAGGUGCGAAAGCGUGGGGAGCAAACAGGA
rnacentral:rRNA from 1 species